UACGAAGGGGGCUAGCGUUGCUCGGAAUCACUGGGCGUAAAGCGCACGUAGGCGGCUUUUUAAGUCAGGGGUGAAAUCCUGGAGCUCAACUCCAGAACUGCCUUUGAUACUGAGAAGCUUGAGUCCGGGAGAGGUGAGUGGAACUGCGAGUGUAGAGGUGAAAUUCGUAGAUAUUCGCAAGAACACCAGUGGCGAAGGCGGCUCACUGGCCCGGUACUGACGCUGAGGUGCGAAAGCGUGGGGAGCGAACGGG
rnacentral:rRNA from 1 species